CACACGACUCUCGGCAACGGAUAUCUCUGCUCUCGCAUCGAUGAAGAACGUAGCAAAAUGCGAUACCUGGUGUGAAUUGCAGAAUCCCGCGAACCAUCGAGUUUUUGAACGCAAGUUGCGCCCGAGGCCUUCUGGCUGAGGGCACGUCUGCCUGAGCGUCAUGC
rnacentral:rRNA from 1 species